CACACACACACACACACACACCAGCUGCCCUUAUAUAACCUUGACAUAAUUUCCUUUUAGAAAGGGCAUUCAAGGAAGAAAUCCUCAUAAAGAUAUCACAGCUGCCUCCUGCCACUGGAGCAGAGGGACAGCUUUUGAAUUGUGGGAAAGCAGGCAGCAAAGUCAGGGCUGAGCUCAUGCUCCGGGCAGCCUAUGGUGUACAGCAUAGGAUGUGUAAGAGUAAAAUGUGCGCAUAACUGCACAAGUCAACAUACCUUGACUCCUGCAGGCAGGAAGUACACAAUCAAAGAACAGGGUAGAGAACAAAGACCUCCCGAUCUUAUCAGGCAUUGCCUGGAUCAUUUUAUCCAGCCUGUGCUGCCCUUCUCCUUCACACCCUGGCAAUGUUACUUUCCAUCUGGACUCCCAGUUGCGAGAAGCCUUUUCCACACAGGGCCCAUGAAUGCUGAUUUCUGUUGAACUGCGCCCCCUUUCCAGUCUUGCCCUGUUGUGGGUCUUGUUAGACAUAGUUAGAAAGUGAAAGCCUUUCCAGGAUUUCACUGAUCUCAUGGUCUACUGUGACCAAAAGCUUGAGACAUUUCAAAUAAAUCCAGGUGUGCACACCUGUAAUCCCAGCACUAAGGAAGUGGGGACAGGAGGAUUGGCUCUCCUCAAAUACAUAAUGAGUUUGAUACCAGCUCUACGGUAUGAGUAAGCCUGCCUCAGAAGCGAGACAAACAUCCAGCACUGGGGAGGCAGGAGAAUAUCUGUGAGUUCACAGCCUAUUCUACAUAAUGAGAUCCAGAACAGAAAGGACUACAUAGAGAGUCCUUCAUCAGCCAACCUCAGGGCCUUUGCACCUGCCCAUAAUGCUCCUCUCUGCCCUCUUCACUAGGCUCCGGUUGCUGCGAAACAGUACCACCCCUGGGCAUCUGGUGCAUGCAACUUCUUGUUCGAGGUUCCAUCACCUUCUGACCUCUUCAUCCCAUUGCUUAGUUCUAAAACAUUCUAGUCUUUAAAAAAAAAUCUACCGUGAUUAUUGGCUUAUUUCAACUUCCUGAUUUAUACUUAGUUUCCCAACAGAAGUUAUUUAAUAAAUAUUUGCACUUCAGGAGAGUUACAUUUUUAACUGUGGUGUAUGUGUGUGUGAGAGAGAGAGAGACAGAGAGACAGAGAGACAGAGAGAGACAGAUACUCAUACCACAGUAUGCAUAUGGAAGGCAGAGGACCACUGCUGACUCUUGGCUUAUGUCUUACUUGAAGCAUAGUUUCUUAGUUGCUUGCCCCUCACAUAUCGGACUCUCAGGCCUGUGAGCUUCCUGGAGUCUCCUAUCUCAGACUCACUCCAAUCUUGCCACAGGGCCACUGGGAGAGCAAGCACACAUACCUGGCCUUAUGUGGGUUCUGAGGAUUUAGGCUCAAGUCCGAACUAAUAAGUAACUGUACUGUGGUCUUAAGCUGUUGACUAAGUUGCCACCCACAACCUACUUGACAUGAUUACUUCAACUCAUCUAUGAUUAAAAUUAUCACCUUACUCCCAUUGUGUUCUUCCAAGCAGGAAGACUGAAAUAUCAAGUGAUGAGUAACCCAGGCUUACACCUUUGUGAUCGAUUUAAAGAUCAGUUUUGUAAUUCCCAGGACACCUUGAAUUCUUGCGAGCAUCUGGUAUUAACUAUUUGUGAAUCCAAGAGCAGCUGACAUUUAAAAUCUAGCAGAUUUUCUUUGGAACUUUAACUUAAAUUUCAUAAUGACUUUAGACUUUUGGUUUGGAUAUGAAGUUGCACCAUUUAACCAAGCCUGUACUUGACUAUGGUAUGCUCUAUACAUCAGUUGUGGGGGGAAAGCAUUAGAAGAACACGGUAGGGCAGAGUGAGGCCCUGCUGUAGACCUAUUAGUGCUGGUGACAUGGACUGGAUUGUGUCUUCUUUCUGUUCCCUUUGUGUUCUCCACAGCUCUUCCUCCAUCCGGAAACAUGGCUUCAUCCUGCUGUCCUUGAGGAUUUCAGCCUGUUCCUUUUGCUCUGUUAGCUGGCCAACAUCCAUGGAGCCAAUUCCAAAUACGGAAUCUCUACUAUGAGAAGCAUCUGGCUUACGCCCGGUUCUUGGUGCCGUGUCGGUGUGGGCAUCGACAAAUGGAGGUUCCACCAAGAUCAGAGAAGAGAAGAUUUCUGAAGGCUGGCCAGUGAGGAAGCAGGGACAUAUUGGGGCAGUUUUCAAAUGAAGCCAAAGAGUGAUGGACGAAUUGCCCACGUUUCCCUUGACAGCAGCACGAAAGGCAUCGGUGUUGGGAUGGGCAUUUGGAGGAUCUGGGUAUGAAGCCAUUGAGUUCCAGAGUUUACAGGACAGAUUGAUGAGGUUUAAUGGUUCCGCUUGUGUGCCUCCUUCUUCAGGGUCCUUUGUCAGGUAAGCCUUUGUGAUUUCCUGGAAUUCUGAUAAGCUUAAACAUCACUAUUUCUUCAUUUAUCGUCUCCCUCCCUGUCCCACUCCUUUCUAAAUUAGCCAUUCAGAAGGGGAGUGAGGCUCAGCCAUAAGGAACAUGCAAAGUCCCCCUGCGUUAGGGAUAAAAGGCAAAAGAUGAUGUCUAGAGUACGCGUGCUACGCGUGGCCCCGAUCGAGUGUGCUUACACCCUUCGUGUGCAAAGAAAUGGCCUGGCUGAGUUACUCUUACUUUUACCAUGUGUUCCUCUGUGCAAUACCAAAAUUAUUCUUUCCCAGCCCACAGGCAUACAACACACACACACACACACACACACACACACACACACACACACACACACGCUGCAUGCUGUUUUUUUUCUUCAAAAGGAAGACUGGAGUCCCUGUCUCCUUUCAUGAGCCUCCUCCUGAUCUUGGUGACACAGCCUUAGUAAGUACUAUUUUCCCAGGCCCCAUCAUGCUGGCUCUCCUUGGGAGUAUUUUUUCUUCCUGGAAUGCCUGGAAUUACUGGAAUGCUAUUUACCCACAAACUGCCUUCAACUAGUCAUUUCCUACCUAUUCAGCAACUGUCCUGGCUUGCUUCCCCUGCUCUGAGACACACUCUGACUAAAAGCAAUUUGGGAGGAAAGGGUGUGGGUUUGGGGGUGAGGGGUUUGCUUAGGCAUCUGUCACUAUCAGAUGCCAAGACAGGACUGUCCUUAACUGUACUGCUCCUCUUGGCUCAUUCAGCUUCAUUCUUACCCAACCCUGGCCACCUGUUCAGGAGUACCAGCUGCAGUGAGUUGGACUUUCCCUUAUCACUGAUUAAUCAAGUGAAUGCUCCAAAGAAGUGCCCCCAGAUCAGUUCUCAGUGGACGUUCUCUUCGACCUGGUGACUCUUGUUUUGUGAAGUUGACCCAAAUCAACCAGCACAGUGGCUCACCUAUGGAGUUUUCAGGCUUCCUUAACUGGACAAGAGAAUUGGCUUCACUGCCUUUCUCCAUAAUUAUCUGUUAUUCUUUGGCUUCAGACUCUGCAACAAGGGACUGAGAGAACUAACUUACCAGAUGGUGCGGAACCCGGGAGGAGUUGGGUCCCCAGUCUGAUGGCUCCAGUCUUUCCUGCCUGUCCAGGGACCACUUCUCUGCCCCUAUCAGUCUGGAGACAUCAUUUCUUCGGACUCUAGCCAUGCAGUCAUCACCUCCUCACUGGGAUUCUGGAUCUUUGCCAACUGAAUACAAGACAGCAGUCACCUGAUCCACUGCGCCUCAUCAAGUUAAGACUCUGCCUUUCUGGUAAAGACCCUCUUCAACAGAAAACAGCUAUAACACCCCUGCCUCACACUUGUAUAUCCUGUCAGAGUUAGGAAGUAUAACUUCUUGCUGAAAGACUACACUUGCCUUGCUGACUAUGAAGUCAUUUCCACCCCAGUAAGAGGCCACACCCCAUCUUCUUCUGUAGGAACCUUGGCCAUCUGCACAGAUUGAGUGGCUAAUCUGCUUCCCUGCCUGAAUGAAUGUGAUCCCACCUAAGGGCAGACCCAGCCUCUCUUCCUUCCACCUCCCAUCUCUCCACAGCUGCCUUUAGUAACCUAACAAUCACAAGAAAGAACCCUGUGUUUGUGAGUGCAUCUUUGGCCCAUGCGUCUCUGCUCUUCCCCCACCUGUAGGUCUAGUAGAGCUCGAUGUUCCAGGCUUUUCAGGUUGCGAGGCAUUCUUAGUGAGUACUAAAUGCCCAUAAGCUAAAGAAGUAUGUCUGACACUCUAGUGUGGUUUUUCCUGGGUUUUUUUUUUUUCCUUCCCCAGUUCCAGAAAUUAAUGCAGGCCUGUGUGUGCUGGUCUGCCUCCUAGUCUGAAUGAGUCUGUUUAAUUUCUUUUCCUAUAGUUAUUUCUUUUACUGCCUAUGGAGGAGUGGUUUGCCUCUGUGUAUGCCUUCGUGCACCAUGCAUGUGCAGGGCCCAUGAAAAGGAAGGAAUUGGAUCCCCAGAACAGAGUUACAGAUUGCUGUAAACCACCACGUGGGUCCUGAGAAUCAAACACUGGUCCUCUGCACAAGCUGUUAAGUGUUCUGAGCUGCUGAGGCAGCUCUCCAGCACCUAAGUGGGUUUUUAUUUUUUCUUUAACUCCCUCUUCAUGGAUGGUGAUAGAGUGCCUCACCCGUGAAACAGGAUUUCUGCAAGGUGACAGACAAUCUCACUCCUCCUUGCCUGGCUGUCCUAGAAAGAAGUAUCUGUUGGAAUGUCCUGUCUCACCCUGGGUGAGCAAGCACGGGAGAGAGACCACAGGGGAACUUGGUGCAACUCUUCCAGACCUCAUCCCAUCCCAUAAAGGGUUACGGCCAUCUUUUUUUGUCUCUGGGAGACCAUUCAAUUUCCCUCAAGAGAGAUUCUGCCUCUUGCCCUGUAUCUCUUGAAGGUCCCUUGUCUCUUUUAUGCAUCCUGUCCCUUUAAGCAGCCGUAGUUCUCUAAGAGGUAGAAUUGCUGCUUUUCAUGGCACAGUAGAGAUUGUUUUCGUCUCGAAGAGGGUGUUGACUGAACUGAUCAGUAGAAUCAGACGUUUCUAGCUGCCAAUAUGUCCAUUUUCUUCUAUUUAUUUUAGUAAAGGGCCAAGCUCUUACGUGUUCUUUCAACCUGUACAGAGCAAGAUUAAAACAGAGGGCAAAAAGAGAGGCUGGUAUGAGUUUGAGCACAGUGGAGUCUGUCUUAGCAUUUGCUUUUUGAAGUGGUGUGUGUGUGUGUGUGUGUGUGUGUGUGUGUGUGUGUGUCAUGUGCACAAGUGCCAUGUGCAUGAACCCCGAGAAGGAGGAAGAAGUGCUGGAGUUCCAGGCAGUUGUGAGCUACCUGUGUGGGUGCUGAGAAUCUAGGUCUCCCGCUAAAGCAGAAAGUGCUCCUAACCACUGUGCCACACCAUCUCUCCAGCACCCCUCCCCCUUCUUGGAUUUUGGUGAGUUUAACUUGGGAAGCUAGAGCUUCUGAAAGCUACCUACGCAACCCUGAGCUGGAGGUUUCCAGUGUUCAUCAUCUCACAUUCAAGAAGCGUGGAAAAGCAAGGAAGAGGAGCAGGCAGACAGGUGUAGUGUUAGAAUAUGGAGAAUGUGAGAAAAGGCUGAGGCUGGGGGAGAGCUCUGAGGAAGGAGCCAUGCCUGCUGGGCUUGUACGGAGGGUGAGGUAAUUGCACAGAGGCUGAGGUAAUUGCACAGAGGCUAUUUUAGAGCUGGUUCACUUCUGAGUGUACCAUGGUCCAAACCAGUAUGAGUCUCAGACCAACUCAAGAGUUUCUGUGCCCUUUCAGGAAAGGGGCUACAUUUCUGGUUCAUGAUCCACCAUGGGCCCACCCUUACUCUUAAAGAGAGUUCUCUCCUGUCUCAAGGCUUUGUAUAAAAAUCCUUAAAGAGGCUUUAUUGACCGGCUACCUGGCUCUUUGCCUCAUUUUCUAACUUCUACUCAAAAGAAGGCAGAUGUGAUGCUUCAAGCCGCGGCGGCCAUAUUGGACUACAAGGCCCUCUUUAACAACAUACCUAAGAACUAAAAACAGAACGACAACGGAAGCUGGGAACCCUGGGUCCUGAAGGGACACACACAGCCUGUCCUGCUCUGGUUACUCCAGACAGUUUCUGUAAGAAACAGAUGAGAACAAUCAUUUAGGUUGCUGGUGUCAGACCGGUGUCCAACAUCCAGAAAAUUCCUAACUGAGGAGACCAUUCAUCAUAGAAAUAAAUGCAGCUCCUCCCACUGUGCAACUUCCUGAGGAAGAAAUAGAUGGAUCCAAGGAAGCAAAAAAAAUCACCAGGAAUGAUCAACGCAACUGCAUCCCCAGAGCAAGCGUCUUAGGAACUGGGUAGUUACUCAUCUGUAGCUUUUCCACAUUCUUCGAGACGAAAGACGUUUCGUAUGGCUGCUUUGAAGUAACUUAGCAUUAGCCAGAUAACUAUUUUUAAACACGGGUGUGCAUGUAUAUGCAUGUCGGAGUGUAUGUCCAGGUGCGCAUGCCCACAUGCAUGCAGCAUGUGUUUGGAGCAGAGGACCUUAGGGGCCAUCCCUCAGAAAUGCAGUCCACCUCCUUUCGAGGCAGCUUCUCGAACUGGUCUGGAGCUCACCAGCUGGGCUACACUGCUGGCCAGCAGCCCCGGGAUGCUCCCUCUCUGCCUCCAAGACUGAGGUUGUAUGUUGCCAUGGUCUCUGGCAUUUCUACGGAGACCCUGGAGAUUGAGCUCAGGCCCCAUGCUCAUGUGGCAAGCAGUUUACCAUCUGUCAUCUCCCUGUGACUUUUACUUUUGAACUCUAUGGCUUAUAUCAUGAAGUUUGCAACUCUGUGUACGUGAACUCAGCUCAGUGAAAGGUAAACAAGUAAAAGACAAUAGUAAAGGAGCAUGGUGCGUGCCGGGUGGGGACUGUGUAUAUAAUUUUUGUGACCCUUACAACAGUUCUAUGAGGUUGACAUUGGGUUCGCUGCCAAUAAGGAAAUUAGGGGAAGUGGGGUUACCAGGAAGGUAAGUAACUCUCCUCGGGUCUCUCAGACACCAACAAGAUUGGAUUAAAUCUGUCUGCUUCCUCAUGCUGUGCUAUGACCCUUGACCUCACUGUGCUUCGAAGGCAGUGACACUUCCCUGGGUCUACUAAGAAGUAAAUGACAUCCUCCAUGAGAUGUAUCAUGAGAAACUGUUUGUGGGUGACUUUUAUUCCACAAAUGGUACACAGAAGUCCGUGCUCCCAAUGGGAAUGUGGCUGUACUUGGAAACAAGAACUUUGUGGUUAUAAUUAGUCUAGAGGAGGCCAUGUUAGAGCAGGGAGAGCUCUAGUCAGUAACUACUGUCCAUCAUAAGGGAACUCUGGAUGCAGAGGCACAUAAGGGGGAGCAGCACAUGAGUGAGUGUGGAGAGAGGUUGGCAAGCAUCUACAAGCCACAGAAUGCACCAGAUGACAUGUGGCCACCAGGGGCUGAAAGUAACUAGGAAGGACAGUCCCCACAAGCCCCUGGAAUCAGAAGAGCCCUGCUUAUUCCUUGGUGUUAGAUUUCUGGCCUUCAUAAGUGCAUAAAACAAAACAAAAUUGCUGUGCCAACAAAGGGUCUGUAUUUGUGGCCAUGUGCCACAGUCCUGGGAAACUGAGAGGAAAGUGAGUCGCUGGGUUUCAGUAGUCACGUAUUGGCUGAGUAUAACACUGUGCCAUAUUCUAUCGUAAGAAUGGGAUACUGGCCAGAGGGACCGGUAAGCUGCCCAGUACCUGCUCCUGCCUGUUCCAGAAAUGCCCCGAGAAGAUGAGAGGGACUAAGGCUGGCGGCUGGAGUGUGGGAGGAAGAGUCAGUGUGGUGGACAGCCAGAAGCAGACAGCUGAGCUGGGCCAGGAAACAAAACGGUUCCUGCACAGAGAUGCAGAUGCCCCCAUCACUGAACUGGGAAGAGCUCAAGAGUUUCCUCCCCAGUUGCCCUCAACAGACUGAGGAAGGUAAACCAACUUGGUCUCGUGUCUGGGUUCUGAGCGUCUGCUGCAUUUGGACCAACUCAAACCUUCUGAGUAGAGAUUGGCUCUAGUCUCUGAUUUUGUACAAGGCCAAGGGUCUUGUUAAUGAGUUUAUUAAAAGUCCAGUCAGCUGAAGCAAAUGCUUAAAAUCAUGGGGGAGACAAUUACUCAAACAGUACACCAUGAAAAGUGUGAAGUCAUUAGCAACAGAGAUAAGGCCAAAUGAACGUUCUUCUUAAGAUGAAACUAGGCUGAGGAAAAGGGCAGAAUGGCGUCUCGGCUCCAGUGCCUUCUCCUUGUUUGGCUUGUCUCACAGUUUGAGCAACUUCAUUAAGGUUCAACCUCUAUCCUUACAGUGUCAGUCACUGUGGGAGAUAAAAACAAAACCAGUUCAUUCCCGUUGGGGACUUUGUAAAUCUGUGAUCAACACUAUGGGAAUAGUUCUUUUGUCUUUUUAAUACCAGACCCUUCCCUUUCCAGUGGAACGCUCUCAAACAACUGGAAUUUAGCUAACCAGUGCCCAGUCCCCUGCUAUUUUGCUCUGUGUGUACAGGUGCUUGUGUGUG
rnacentral:sRNA from 1 species